CAAACACCCGACGUUGACCCAACGUUGGAUCAACGUUGAAUUUUGGUCGCGACGUCGGUGACCUUCAUACAACGUCAAAUCGACGUUGAAUCCCCGACAUCUAACAGACGUUUCAUUUUGACGUCGACUCGAUGUCGGGUUUUGGUCGGUAAUCUGAUAAUAGGUAAAUUUAAUUUUGAAACCAAUAUAUAUAUAAAUGAAAGCAUAAACAGCGAGAAUUUUAAGUUUAAGUUUAGAAAGGGAACAUUAUAUAUUUAUUUUCUCCAUCAAAACAACAGUAUCACAUGGGUGGCUAACGUACGAUAUUCGAAAGGUGGCGCUCUGUAAACGGAUAGUCGCAGAUCCGUAUGAAAUAUAUUUGCUCUAUUUUCGUUUAAAUAAUAUCUUAUCUCCUCGAAUUAGUCUAAGAAGUGUUUAUAUAAUUUACAAUGAAGCUGUUAUCAUUUUUGAGGGCUUCAUUUUAUAGUGAUAAAUAAUUUAGUAAAUUCGAAUUUGCAUCUUAUCGGAUUUGAAAUUCAAUUGUAUUGGCGGACAAAAAAAACGACGGGUUGAAAGACAAAGUUGUAUAUUCCAAACAAAAGAAAAAGAUUGUGAAAAUUAUGUUAAUUCAUCAUGUGUCAAAAGUUCAGGAGGAAGAUGAAAAUAUUUAGAGGAAAAGAAAAAUGAAACCUACCAAGAUUUUGUGACAGAAAGUGUGAUGAGAUCUUAGGUUGGAGACGGUAAUGAUACACUUAUAGUAUGCCCCAUGCAGAUCGACAUAUAGUGUAGGAGGACGAAAGAAGCUAGAAUACUAAUGAAGAUACAUGAACAUUGCUAUUUAUAGUUAUAACAAAAUAUUCAGAAUAUUGUUCCAUUUAACAUUCAGAUCUAGAUUCAGUUAUAAAAUACAAAGACAAAUAUACAACUAGUGAGUUGGAUAGAUGAUUGAAAAAUCCCAAACUCAGAGUGAUCAGUUCAGUGGUGAUAUAAGAAAAAACACAUGCAUGGAUGUUUGCUAUAUAAAAUGUCAGUGUUAAUAUUCAAGAAAGAUUUUGUUUAUCUUAUUUCUAAAACAUGCUUAAUUAAUACAUAUAGCGUUAUUAAAGUACAUACCGUCAAGUUUAAUAGUUUCAAAAAAUAUUAUGUAAAUCUUGCAUUUGUUAUAGUACCACAUUUCUUGUUUUUGUACUUGUGAUUCCGAAUAUAAAAUAAAUUGCUAAAAUCAUAAGAAUGCUUAUUUAUUAACCCUAUUAAAGAGCUUCAAAAUGAAAAAAAAAAUCAUAUUCCAAAAGUUUUGAAUGAGGUUAAAUUAUUGUCAGAAAAUUUGGUCAGAUAAGGUUGGUAUAUGGUCAGAUAAUGGUCAGAAAAGGUUGGAUUAUGGUCAGAAAAAGGUUGGAUUAUGUCCAAAUAAUGGUCAGAAAAGGUUGGAUUAUGGUCAGAUAAUAGUCAGACAAGGUUGGAUUAUGGUCAGAAAAGGUUGGAUAAAGGUCAUUUUAUGACGUUGUAUAGACGUCGGUUUCUGACGUCUAAAAAACUUUCAAAUCCAACCUUCUGCCAACGUUUUCCCAACGUCAGGGUCUAACGUCAGUACAACGUUGGUACAACGUCUUUUG